rnacentral:rRNA from 1 species
AUACAGAGGGUGCAAGCGUUAAUCGGAUUUACUGGGCGUAAAGCGCGCGUAGUCGGCUAAUUAAGUCAAAUGUGAAAUCCCCGAGCUUAACUUGGGAAUUGCAUUCGAUACUGGUUAGCUAGAGUGUGGGAGAGGAUGGUAGAAUUCCAGGUGUAGCGGUGAAAUGCGUAGAGAUCUGGAGGAAUACCGAUGGCGAAGGCAGCCAUCUGGCCUAACACUGACGCUGAGGUGCGAAAGCAUGGGGAGCAAACAGGAUUAGAAACCCCAGUAGUCC